GUUCUUGUUUCUGUAUUUGCUCAAUUUUUCUCCACCUUUUCCCUUUCUUCACUUGGAUCUGUGAGAUUCCAUGAUUAGGAUAAGCUUUUUACUGUAAAUGAAAACAAGCAUUACCAUGUAAGGUUAUCAAGUAAUCAUUGUUUCCUUUCUGCAAUAGAAAUGAGAAUAAAUUACUCAGACUGAACCCUUGAGUAUCUGAUAUCUUGGUGACAAUAAAAUUAUGAUUCACUUUUAUUGAUGGCCUCAACAUAUCUCACAAUUAUCAUCGUUUUGUCCACUUCAAUAUAACCCAAGAUUAAAUAGCAAUUAAACGUUUUCUAAUGUUCAUCACCAGGGAAAUGAUGAAAAGCUUUGUAUCCAAUAUCAGUCAAUACGAACCACUUUGGUCAAAACCGAUUGGGUUUAGCCUCGUUUCUGGUUCCCGUUCAACAUUCAAAAGAAACAAAAGCUCUAAUCUUAAUCCCUGUCUUCACUCAGAGAACUGAAUGAAUGAAUCCAUGUGAAUUUUCCGUUUUAUUAUACAUUUAAUCCAACAAAUCUGAUGAAGACUGAGCCUCAAUAUUGAUAAAGAUUAGACGCUGGAAGAAGAAUGAAAAUAAAGAAAUAAAAGCAAUUAAGGCUGCUGAUUUAAUUAUCAUUAAUAGGUUAAUCUGUCCUGGAAACGGAAUGUUUGAAGUUGAAAUAUGAAUUGUGAUAAACAUGAUUAAGAGUAUUAUUAGUAUCACCAAAAUGAAUCUCAACACGAUAAUUAUCAUCAACAUUAUGAUCCAUCAAUUUUUACACCAGCUUUAAGGCGUUUUUUACUCUUUAACUUGACCACUGUGUCCAAUUUCCGAUAAUCCCGUUCAUUUUCACCAUCAUUUUCUGGUCUAUGGUUUGGUCCAACUCCUCGAGAUGAAUAAAACAAAGCUCCAAACAUGAACACGUAAAUCAUAAGGACAACCUGAUGAAGAGAGAAGAGGAAAACAAUCAAAAUGCUUUAAUCACAUGAGUACUUAACUCGGAAAGGGCCGAUUGAUUAGCAACACUGAAUGAAUGAAUGGCGAAUCAAGGAAAAAGACCAUUUAAGGCCAUUCCUUCAACGUUUUUCCCGUCUGGAAUCAAUGACUGUCCUUGUUGAACAAUUUAGAUUGAAGAUGAUUACUGGUAAUGUUCAUAUUUAACUGUAAGGCCUUGAUGUCUUGUCAAAGUAAACCUUAUUUGAGAAACAAUUUACAAGGUUAAUGAACAAUGUAAAUUGUAUUCUGAUUGUUACUGAAUAUUGCAAUUAUUUCUUCUUAUUCAAUUGAAUUUACAAUAAUUGCAUUACCAAACUAAUGCAUAAAGAAAUAAUCAUUUUUUUCUCGUUUCCCUGUUAAAGUUGAAGAGUGCCAAUUAAAGUAAUCAUUGUGAUUUAAUCAGAGCAAGUGUUGAAUCAAAUUUCAUUUUCAAAUGAAUCUUUCAAAGUUAACCUUUAACACCUUAAAUCUAAUCAAUUGAUUCAACCUAAUUGAAGAACGAGAAAAAAAGGUUAAAUAUUAUUUGAUCAGUCAAAAUUGAAUUGACUUUAGUUUAUAAAAGGUUAAAACAAUCGAUGAGGCAUCAAGUAACAUCUAGUAACUUUGAUGACCUCUCACCAGAUCAAUGGUUUAGAUCAAUAAUGGACUAUUAAUUGAAUUGUGAUUUCACUUGAGAUCCUGAAAAGUCUACCAUUGAAUAUCGGCAGCAAAAAGAUGUAAAACGGUGAAAGAGUUAGACUGUGAUUUAAUAUAUAUUUAUGUUUAUUUUUGUGCGACUCAACUAAUAUAAAAUAUCUAUUUUUCAGAUUCCUGGUGGAAACAUGGAGUUAACCUGAGAAUCUUGUAACCUCAACCAUUUAAUAUAAAUGUAGUUACUCGUGAUUUGAUUACUGAAGAGGAUCUUGAUGAGAUGGAAGCAAGAAAAUGGAAAGAUGAGGAGCAAAAAGCAAUUUACAAAGCAAAAUAUGAUGAACAAGUACAUGAUGAAGGAGGAGGAGGAAAAAUGGUGAAAUAUUGAAGAUGAUCAACUCUGGAAAUAUUAGCUGAUGAAAGAUGUGGUUGACAUUUAGCAAGAAAAUGAUAAUUUGCUUGGUAAAUAAUUAAUUAGGAACAACAAUUUGAACGGAAAAAACAAGGAUAAUCAAAGGGUUCCAUGUAAUGUUACUUGAUUAACCUGGAAACCCUCUGUGAAUAAUACAAAUAACAAUAAGAAGCUACAAUGAUACUUAUGAAUCUCAGUCAACUGUUAUUAUUAUUGAUUAUUUAACUUGGUGAAAUUAGUUUCAUUAAGAAGCUUACAAGUGGAGGUUGAUGAUGAAAAUGUUGAAGAUAAUCAACUGGUUAACCAUUUCACCUUAUUAUUUUAGAUCAUUUAUUAACAAUGUCAGCAUUACUUGCUUAUUUGUAUAGCUUUGUAAUAUGAUUAUGAACACAAAGAAUCGCAUCUACAUUAGCAUCAUCAUUACCAUUACUAUUAUGACUGCCAUUGUGAUUAUUUAGUCAGCUAACAUUGGUAACAAUUGUAAUCUAAUUUUACCAACAUUAACAGUUUUUCAUUGUUUUCAUUGUUGCUCAGCCAUAGUUGGUUGUGCCAAUUUAAUUUGUCCAAAUUGUGUAUUUUUAAUCACAAUUGACAAAAGAAGAUGCUAAUGAGAUGAAUCUGUAAACAUGAAACCAAGAUGAAAUUGAUAACCACCAAAUGAAUAUGAUUAAAGCGACUUUCUGCAAAAUUGAACAAAAUCUGUUUCUCAUUUUUUUCAGGUAAAGAUUGAAACAAUUGGGUAAACAAUUAACAAUCAAACAUAAGGGUAAAACAAUUGUAAACAGUGAAUAUGGAAAAAUGAAAAAUGCUUUUACAGUUGCAUGUCUGCAUUAUAAUUGAUUUCCCAAAAGUUUUGAAUACACAAUGAACUGAAUGGAAACAAAAAACAAGCCAAAUGUGAUUUUAUCUGAAAUGGUUUAGGAAUCAACGGAACAAAAAUGUCAUCAUAUUUGAGUUGAACUGAUUGAUAUUAUUUUCAUUUAGAUGAUCCAUCUUGAGACAUGAAAAAUGAUCGAUUCAAAUGGUUGUUGAAAUGAUUCAAAACAUGUUCCAGGUUGCUAUAUUGAUUGGUGAAUAAUUUGAAUUAAACUCUUUGAUGACAUUUAUGGGAAUAAUGGUGAUGAUCAACUUGAUGAAAUGACAAAUGACAAAAUAGACUAACAUUGGAGAAAUAAUUCUUCAAACUAUUCAAACUCAAUUUACUGAACGGAUUGUGAUUCACACUGUUGAUGGUUUACUUUGAUUAAUUGUAUGGCCAAUCACUUGGAAUGUAAUUCGUUGACAUAAGAAGGCCAAAUAAGUGCGAGGAUCGCAUUCUCAAUUUUAUUAUGUAAAUGUUACAAGUUUACAUUUUCAUCAUUUUGUUGAGGCUUUCAGUUGCAUUCAUUGAAACAUUCAUUAUUGACAUAAGCAACAUUACUCUCUGCUGAAACUGAUAACAAUAAUGUUCCAAUGUUUAACUUAAAUUGUUAUAAAGCUAUAAUGGUUGUACAAUCAGAUUCAUUGUUUGCUUUUAAUUUGAACAAAAUUCAAUAGUUGAAAU